rnacentral:rRNA from 1 species
AUACGUAGGUGACGAGCGUUAUCCGGAAUUAUUGGGCGUAAAGCGCCCGCAGGCGGCUGUUCAAGUCUGACGUGAAAUCGCUCGGCUUAACUGGGCGGGGUCGUUGGAAACUGAAUAGCUUGAGGCAAGGAGAGGGGCGUGGAAUUCCCGGUGUAGUGGUGGAAUGCGUAGAUAUCGGGAGGAACAUCAGUGGCGCAAGCGGCGCCCUGGCCUUAGCCUGACGCUCAGGGGCGAAAGCGUGGGGAGCGAACGGGAUUAGAUACCCCGGUAGUCCACGCCGUAAACGAUGAACACUAGGUGUGGGUGGGUUCAAAACCAUCUGUGCCGUAGCCAACGCGUUAAGUGUUCCGCCUGGGGAGUACGGCCGCAAGGCUAAA